rnacentral:miRNA from 1 species
CGGGUGCCACCCCCCGGCCCGG